AGUUUGUGAGAAGGUUGGGGUGGCCCAUCGCUUAGGGUAUGACGGGUUCCUGUCAUACUACAGUGGUGCGAAACUCCGUACUUACACGCGAGCU
rfam:Cymbidium ringspot virus (CyRSV) defective interfering (DI) RNA.